UACGUAGGGUGCGAGCGUUAAUCGGAAUUACUGGGCGUAAAGUGUGCGCAGGCGGUUUCGCAAGUCAAGUGUGAAAGCCCCGGGCUUAACCUGGGAACUGCGCUUGAAACUACGGAACUCGAGUAUGGCAGAGGAAGGUGGAAUUCCACGUGUAGCGGUGAAAUGCGUAGAGAUCAGGAGGAAUACCAAUGGCGAAGGCAGUGCUCUGGGCUAACACUGACGCUGAGGUGCGAAAGCGUGGGUAGCGAACGGG
rnacentral:rRNA from 1 species